GAUGAACGCUGGCGGCGUGCUUAACACAUGCAAGUCGAACGAAGCGCUUGGAUGGAAUUCUUCGGAAGGAAGCUCAAGUGACUGAGUGGCGGACGGGUGAGUAACGCGUGGGUAACCUGCCUCAUACAGGGGGAUAACAGUUAGAAAUGACUGCUAAUACCGCAUAAGCACACGUGAUCGCAUGAUCGAGUGUGAAAAACUCCGGUGGUAUGAGAUGGACCCGCGUCUGAUUAGCUAGUUGGUGGGGUAACGGCCCACCAAGGCGACGAUCAGUAGCCGGCCUGAGAGGGUGAACGGCCACAUUGGGACUGAGACACGGCCCAAACUCCUACGGGAGGCAGCAGUGGGGAAUAUUGCACAAUGGGGGAAACCCUGAUGCAGCGACGCCGCGUGAAGGAUGAAAUAUUUCGGUAUGUAAACUUCUAUCAGCAGGGAAGAAAAUGACGGUACCUGACUAAGAAGCCCCGGCUAACUACGUGCCAGCAGCCGCGGUAAUACGUAGGGGGCAAGCGUUAUCCGGAUUUACUGAGUGUAAAGGGAGCGUAGACGGCAGUGCAAGUCUGAAGUGAAAGCCCGGGGCUCAACCCCGGGACUGCUUUGGAAACUGUGCAGCUAGAGUGUCGGAGAGGCAAGCGGAAUUCCUAGUGUAGCGGUGAAAUGCGUAGAUAUUAGGAGGAACACCAGUGGCGAAGGCGGCUUGCUGGACGAUGACUGACGUUGAGGCUCGAAAGC
rnacentral:rRNA from 1 species